CAGCAGCCGCGGGAAUACGGAGGGUGCAAGCGUUACUCGGAAUCACUGGGCGUAAAGGACGCGUAGGCGGAUUAUCAAGUCUCUUGUGAAAUCUAACGGCUUAACCGUUAAACUGCUUGGGAAACUGAUAAUCUAGAGUAAGGGAGAGGCAGAUGGAAUUCUUGGUGUAGGGGUAAAAUCCGUAGAGAUCAAGAAGAAUACCCAUUGCGAAAGCGAUCUGCUGGAACUUAACUGACGCUAAUGCGUGAAAGCGUGGGGAGCAAACAGGAUUAGAUACCCCCGUAGUCCCUGUCUCUUAUAC
rnacentral:rRNA from 1 species